GAGCUCAGUGGUAGGAUGUCUGCUCUGCAUGCAGAAGGUGUUGGCUUUGAUCCCCAGCAUCUCCA